UACAUUUGCAGCCAACCAGGUUCCCCCCAGUGGGGAUUAAAAGGGAAGUCCGGUGCAAAUCCGGCGCUAUCCCCGUAGCUGUAAGGAUGGAGUAUACGAUAAUCGUAUACCUAACGGUUGCUAAAAUGCUACCAUUGUUGCAAACAGCCACUGCUCCGACAUACCGGAUCGGGAAGGCGGCAACAAUCAUCCAAGCCAGAAGACCUGCCCGGUUGAUUGAAACCAC
rnacentral:ncRNA from 2 species